rnacentral:lncRNA from 1 species
UAAAAAAUAAAAUAAAAUACUGCUAAAAAACUUAACUUUUACCAAUGAUAUUAAUACUCGUGAAUACAUUCGAUCUGAACAAAAAAAAAUCGUACGAAAAAAGACACCAAAAACAAAAACAACCAUUUUCGGUUACACAAUUUUGUUUGAACAAUAUUUUGGAGGUUCCAGAUCAAGUUUACCUGACUAUUAGUAUUGUUGUAAUAUUUAAAUUUGUGUAAUAGUUAU